ACUGGCGCUAUCGUUCUUGAUUUCGUUAUACAACAGAUUCUACACACCUAUUAGAAUGCUUUUUCAGGAUGUUCACGGCGACAGAAGUUCUAUCGUAUCUUUUCUGUCUUUUAGUACCUCCGCCAGUUCGAUCCAUCUUCCGCCCUCUUUCACCAUCACUUUAACACGCUUUUCUAAGCCAGGUCUUCUUCCACUUAUCUCUAUCCUUUUCACCGGCGCUUGUCUACUCUCGCCGUAAAAUGAUUUUGAAAGCCUUCCUCGACUAUAAUCCUCUGCACAUCUUUGUCAAGCUCGUCCCAAUGGCUCGGUCGGAAUGGGGUCAGUACUGAGUGAUCGAAAUUGGAAUAUGACGCUGUUGAUAAUCGAGACGAUGUACGUGGAGUAGGUGUGGGAGGUUUGAAUGAUGAGGGCGGUGGGCGACUAUGACCAGACCCGCGAGGGGCGUUAAGGGUCGUAUGGGAGUAUUGACGAUCAUUGGUCGUGAGUGCAGACAUGCCCGAGGAUAGCCGCGGCUGGAGUGCGGGAAAUUUGCCAGACAGGCGCAGUCUUCCUGAUUCAGGAGUCUUGAGACCCAUCCGGGCAUGCUCAAGGUGAGACUGACCUUUGUUAGAAGGGGAUAAAGUGCUAGGAAGCGACGAUCGCGAAUUAGGUAUAUGCUGCACGUCGGAUACUUCGCCUCGCGUAGACACCAUUCCAAAUGCGGUUCCAAUGUUCUGGCUUUUCUGAAAGCUUGACGUCCUGGCACGUAUCCUGGAGGACAUAGGGGUCUGUGGCGCAUUAUUGGGGAUGGGACUUAGACGGUGGGAGACGUGAAGAGGUUGACGGGCGUGAUUUGCUGUAGUUGUCACUUCGAAAACCUUGGGAGAAGAGUUCCAUCGUGGUUUCUCAAAAAGGUUCCCAGCAACAACUUCAGAGUUACCGGAGGCCGCAGAAGCUUGACUGUCCAAUGAUUGACGACGAUUGCCAACCUUCAAACUGUCGUUUAUAUGUGACAACUUUACUGUCUGCGACUUUCCAGGGGAUCUCGCAAAGGAAGUGGCAGGAAUAGAGGACACCCGAGGAGAGGUAGUUGAAUGAGUGACAAAUUCCUCAUCUGCGCCACCGGAAUGUUGACGAUUAUCCACCUCAGAUUGUGGUACUGAAAAUGCCUCAUCUGUAAGGACCUCCGUGUCUGCAGACGAAAAAUUCCCCAGCAAGCCUAUUUGGCGACUCGCCGCCUGAAAUUGCCUCUCUAACUCUAAGUCAUUAUCCCUUCAGAUCAACCAUUUCGCUACCCACCGUCUCAAUGCGGCUCCGUUGUCGACUCUUCGCUCCUGAAGAUCCUUAUCUAGCUUUUUCAUCGUCCGGGCGGUACUUGGUAUGUAUGUCCUUGAUAGUCAAUAUGUCAGCUGAUAUACAGUUAUACGUACUGAAACCACCUACAUUACCAGUGACUCAUGGUCGCUGACAAUACGUUGAAAUCUCUCAGCGCUGAGUUGUCCUUCAAAAUGUGAUUUAUGUGGUAUUGGAUUCCUAGAACGAUGUAGUCGCUCGAGAAAUUCCUGGAAUGAAAGAGAAGGGUCAGGAAAAGGUAUAAAAUGUGAUAUCAAUGAAGUUUUGUCUACCGACCUGACAGCUGGCGAGGCUCUGUUGAAGAGGUUCCAUCAAAGCAUCGGCUUGAUUGGCAGAGCUGGAAAAGGAAUUAGUUUUCUAGUUACUGUAGAGAGCUUUUAAGGCCCGAUACUAACGUCUGAAA
rnacentral:sRNA from 1 species